GUGGAGAUUGAACUCAUGACCCUGAGAUCAAGAGUCGCAUGCUCUACUGACUGAGCCAGCCAGGUAUUAGAAAAGGAUAAAACUCACACGUGAGAGCCACAGGACUAAAGUGGGUAUUUAACUUACUACGAUAAAAGUUAAUCAAUUGAAAGAACAUGGCACAAGAGCUGCAGACAGUCUGAGGAUGACUGAAGUUUGGAAAAUCCCAAAUUAGAUGAUAGUAGAAUCACUCAAUCAGUCAAGAGUGCCUUCAGCUGGGUUCGGUGGAGUCCAAGGGUGAACCACCUCUUUGUGAUUCUUCUGACCUUCUCCUCAUGGUCCCAUGAUGGCUGUUGUAACUCUAGCUCGCACAACCAAAAGGAAGAAAAAGGAAGAGGUGGCACCCAGCAGCAUCUUUCCCUUUUGUCAGGAAAAGCCAGAGCUUUCCUAGAGUUCCCAGCAGUCUUCUCCUUAAGCGUCUGCCAGAGCCACAUAUGGGGCCACUGCUGUGGAGGCUGGGAGCGUGGACAACAGGCCGGCGUAAUUGCCUUUGACCAUCUUCGUCAAGCUGAGCUCCUUAUAGUGAGGAAGGGAGGACUGGGUAGUGGGUUAGAAAAGUGCCGAGUGCAGAGAGAAGCAGAUGCGGCAGGCCAUGUGGCCCUGGAGAGAAUGCCACGUUUAACAUGGUUGGAAGCUGUGAGAUAUUCAAGUUACGGAUUUGUGUGAGAAGCACAAGAGAAAAUGAGCGCAUCUGGGAGCUAUUGCUCUCCCCCUUCUCACGCCAUCAUCUCUCCUUGGGUGACCUUCGCGGCAGGAACUCCUACCACGACCCAGACUGAAUUGGCUAUCAAGAUGGUGAUUCAUCUGGCCAAGCAGAAGUCAUUAUCCCCUCUCCCUAAACUUCACCUUUCCUCUGCGUUCCCUAUCUCAGUCAACGGUACAGCCAUCUACACAGUCAUGCCCGGAAGUCACCACCCCCACAGGCAACCGCUUGCCACAUUAUUUAAGAUUAAUCAGGCUGUAAUAUGCCUGGUCUCCUCUUCCCUCAAUGUCUCAGUUCUGGCCUUAACCUCCUUUUGGAGGGCAGUGGACACCAUCUCCUGGACUCACUGUUUUCUAAGCUUGUUAGAAACCUGGGGUGCUUGUUAAUUAUCUGGAUUCUCAGGCCCUUCUCCUACACUCUGACUGAAUAGGCCUGACGUGGGGACCUGGAAUCCGUGUGCUUAACAAUGAUCGCCAUCAGUUUGGCUGAGCAGUGGGCAGCCCUGGUAGAGGGCUGGUUUCCCUGCCUCAGGGCGCUUUGCGGUCAAUUGAGCCCUCCUCGCUGUAGAAAGAGCUUCCUAAGAGCUUCCUAAAAUGGGCCGGAAGCUCUUAAUCCGCAGCACAAAACCCAAACCUGCCGCAAGCCGAAUGGGGCAUGAUUUAGCCACCACGUCCCUCUUCAGUCUUCUCUCCUGCCUUCCCUGGGCUCUACUUCCUUCCUUCCUUCCUUCCUUCCUUCCUUCCUUCCUUCCUUCCUUCCUUCCUUCCUUCCUUCCUUCCUUUCUUCCUUC